rnacentral:misc_RNA from 1 species
UGUGAAACGCGAAAACAUACAAAGGCUUCGGCUGGCGUGUGUUUUGGCAUUGCUUGGACGGAGUCCGCUCUGUCCAACUUCAAAACUUAUAUCAAUUUAUCUGAAAACUUGAAAAUUUAAAACUUUCAACAACGGAUCUCUUGGUUCUCACAUCGAUGA